AUGGUGGGUGCUGAUGUCACCUUUGAGGUUGGCGGCGAGACGUUUACCGCUCACCGGUGUGUGCUCGCUGCCAGGUCUCAGGUGUUCAUGGCGCAGCUAUUUGGCCCCAUGAGUGAGGGCACCGCCACGUCCGACAACGUCAUACACAUCAAAGACAUGGAAGCAAAAGUGUUUAGGGCGUUGCUUCACUUCAUCUACACAGACUCGUUCCCUGUGAUGGACAAGGACAGUGUCAGCAUGGAGGAGGAUGAAAUGCCACGAAUAGUGGAACAAGGACAAGCAGAGGAUAAAAUGCCAGAAGCUGUGGAACAAACGCAAGAAGAGGCAGUAGAGCAACAAAUGCGGCUGCGGUGGCUGCAAGACUUGUUUGUAGCGGCAGACAGAUACCAUCUGCAGCGCCUCAAGUUCAUCUGUGAGAAGCAGUUGUCCGAGCACAUGUGUGUGAGCUCGGUGGCGUCCACUCUCCUUCUAUCCAAGCAGCACCACUGCGACGGACUGAAGCAGGCGUGCCUGAAGUUUAUCCAAGUUCUAUCUCCCUUGCGUUUGCAGACACUGAUGGCGACUACUGGCUGGGGGCAUGUAGCCACGACCUACCCCUCUGUUUUGUUCGAGCUCAUUGCCAUGCUUGCUGCAAACCAGCGGAGAUAA
rnacentral:rRNA from 1 species